AUCGCGAGAGAUUGUCUGGAGGAAGCCUACGGCAAAACUGUGAGUCGACGAACAGAAACAGCAUAUAAGGCCGAGUCUGCGGGUAAGUUGGCACAACACAACAAAGCCCAGGGUUCAGCGGAUACGGUAAAUGCUGCGGCUGUGCAGUGAAAGUUCA
rnacentral:ncRNA from 1 species